UACGAAGGGGCUAGCGUUGCUCGGAAUCACUGGGCGUAAAGCGCACGUAGGCGGCUUACUAAGUCAGGGGUGAAAUCCUGGAGCUCAACUCCAGAACUGCCUUUGAUACUGGUGAGCUUGAGUCCGGAAGAGGUGAGUGGAACUGCGAGUGUAGAGGUGAAAUUCGUAGAUAUUCGCAAGAACACCAGUGGCGAAGGCGGACUCACUGGUCCGGUACUGACGCUGAGGUGCGAAAGCGUGGGAGCAACAGG
rnacentral:rRNA from 1 species